UCCUGAAGGAGAAAAUAAUCGUCAAGUUUUUUGUUUUGUUCCUCACAAAGGUUUUUAUUCCCCCCUCGCUCCCCCCCUUAUCAGUCUUUGGCUGUCUGACAGAUGCUUCUUGUACAAAGAGCUGCACAAAGCUUGUGAGGCAGCAACACAUGCAAAGAGACAAAGGGAUAUCAGGUUCAUCGAGCCCAAGAGAAACCAGAGGACUUCGGAGAAAAAUAAAGGAAGAGUGGGUGAGAGAUGAAAUGCAGUGCAUGUGAACACAGGAACCCAAACGCACUGCCCACUCUGGAUCCAGCAUCCACUGAAAGGGAUCUCUCGGAGACUGUGAUAAUUCCACCGAAAUUUGGGUCCCUCUCAAGCAAACCAAACAGAUCCUGAGAAUGAGGCGCAGCAGCAUCAGGCAGUGUCUGAACGUGAAAUGGAGAGGCCCUGGAGAUCAGAGCCUGAGCACUAAUGGGAUUAGGAACAGCAUUUGCUCUGGAGAGAUCACUGCUCAGUCCAAGCGAAGACAAAGCUGCCUUAGAAGAGCUGCAGAAAGGAUCUCAUCACAAACAGGCAGACGAAAUUCACUGUCAAAAAAUUUUGUGCACAACAUCUCCAGCUGGGGAACAGUCCAGAACAGACUCCAUCACCUCCCCCACCAGGCUGCAGUCCCACUGCCAUCGUGCCGCUGGGCUGCUGGGAGUCCCCCCGGGCAUUCUGCUGAAAACACCAAAAUGGCAAAGCCAACACUGGGGGCUAACAGCAAACCAGUUGAGAGUAGUGACUGUUUUUUAUCUCUGCAAAUCUGGUGGGUGCCUGAACCUCAAGUGCUGCCUGCAUCAAGAUAACCCAGCACCAGAGAGGGAAGGGAAAGAAGGGCAGCUGGAAGCAUCUGGAAGUGCCUUCCAUUCCCGAAGACAUUCAGCUGACCAUAACUUGGAAGAAGUCCACUGGUGGGAGCAGGACAGAUGUCAGUCCCAUCACACAUAGCCUGGGUAGGAAAUGUUUUUUCACCAUUUCCCAACUGCAGAACUAAGGAUGAUCCAAUGAACUCAUCGGGCAGCAGGUUGAAAAUAAAAUAGCGCUUUUCCAUAUCAUGCAUAAUUAAACAGUGGGGUGAA